GCAGCAGUGGGGAAUCUUGCACAAUGGGGGAAACCCUGAUGCAGCGACGCCGCGUGAGUGAUGAAGCCCUUCGGGGUGUAAAGCUCUUUCGGCAGGGACGAUAAUGACGGUACCUGAAGAAGAAGCUGCGGCUAACUACGUGCCAGCAGCCGCGGUAAUACGUAGGCAGCGAGCGUUGUUCGGAGUUACUGGGCGUAAAGAGUGCGUAGGCGGUUUUCUAAGUUUGGUGUGAAAUCUCCCGGCUCAACUGGGAGGGUGCGCCGAAGACUGGAAGGCUAGAGUGUGGGAGAGGUAAGCGGAAUUCCUGGUGUAGCGGUGAAAUGCGUAGAUAUCAGGAGGAACACCUGCGGUGUAGACGGCUUACUGGACCAUAACUGACGCUGAGGCACGAAAGCGUGGGUAGCAAACAGGAUUAGAUAC
rnacentral:rRNA from 1 species